GCUGACACAAUGGGCUACAGACAGUCAGCUAACAGCUGAGUACAGUAUUUGUGGAGAAAGAGGCAACUCAGAACACAUCACCACAUAGACUUCCUGUUACAGAGGCAUCUCCACCAUAACUGGAUGGAAGUACCCAGAAAGGGACACCCCCGGCCUGACACCUGAGCAAGAAUGGAAGCAUCUGGAUCGGGUAAAGCAAACGAGGAAAAGAAACCAUCUUAUACAAAUGGCAUCUACCCAAGUAAGAAAUCGGCAGGUGUUGCCACCUCGUGAAGUCCUCAAUCAUCCGAUUAAUAUAGUAAGAGAAGUUUAAGGAAUACAAGUCCAAUAUAUUAGAUGAUAUACGUAUACCAAGAUAUUUUAUAUAAUU